rnacentral:rRNA from 1 species
GAUGAACGCUGGCGGCGUGCCUAAUACAUGCAAGUCGAGCGAACAGACGAGGAGCUUGCUCCUCUGACGUUAGCGGCGGACGGGUGAGUAACACGUGGAUAACCUACCUAUCAGACUGGGAUAACUUCGGGAAACCGGAGCUAAUACCGGAUAAUAUAUUGAACCGCAUGGUUCAAUAGUGAAAGACGGUUUUGCUGUCACUUCUAGAUGGAUCCGCGCCGCAUUAGCUAGUUGGUAAGGUAACGGCUUACCAAGGCAACGAGGCGUAGCCGACCUGAGAGGGUGAUAGGCGACACGGGAACGGGGACACGGUCCAGGCGCCUACGGGAGGCAGCAGUAGGGAAUCUUCCGCAAUGGGCGAAAGCCUGACGGAGCAACGCCGCGUGAGUGAUGAAGGUCUUCGGAUCGUAAAACUCUGUUAUUAGGGAAGAACAAAUGUGUAAGUAACUAUGCACGUCUUGACGGUACCUAAUCAGAAAGCCACGGCUAACUACGUG